GAGACAGGCAAUCCCAAACACCCGGAUUUGGGGUGAGGAGCAGCCCCAUCCCGUUUUCCCUCCGUACCCACACUGCCCGCUCUGUUAAUACCCCGGUUCUCUUCUGUGACUUCAGGCUAUCUUAAAACCCAAACCUUGUUGCCAUGGAGACAAUAAGCCGGUCAGCACAUCUGCCAGGAGAGCAGGACACGGGAUUUUUAAAGGGAGAAUUCCAAAGGCUCAGACUUUUGCGCAUCCACGGCAGCGGCUCCAUCAAAUCCACAAAGAGGAUCCCGUUCAUCCCAUUCGCCGUCGCCUCCCAGCCUUUCUACAAUCCCAGGGGGCUGUUGUUGUGCUCUGGUGCCCACCACAAACACCAGGAUCCACGAGGAAUCCAAUCACAAGCACUGGGAUCCAUGAGGACACGGAUCAUGUUCCAAUUCCACGGGCAGGACGUGGAUCCUGUUCCAGUUCCGUGGGCAGCACCGGCCACGCUCAGGGAGCACCAAGGACAGGCAAGGGCUCCCCACAGACAGAACUCAGUGAACCAAAGGCUGCAGAGGCUCCAGACACAACUCCAAACCAUCAUUUGGGGGAGUUUGUUUCGGAGAGCACGGUGGGGGUCGUUGUUUGCUUGCAAACACCCCCUCACACAACAUCCUUCCCCUUUUCUGAGGGAACGCAAAGUGGGAACUGAACUGGGGAGUCGAUGAGUACAUGGGGAAACAUUCAGUUAAGCCUCCUGGUGACACAGAGAUUCCCAGACACAUGGCCUUCCAGAGGGAGAAGGGAAUGUGCAGAAGCCUUGGUGGCUUCAUCGUGGUCAGGUGAGCCUUGUGAAGGUUCAUGGAAUCAUGGAAUAUCCUGAGCUGGAAGGGACCCACAAGGAUCAGAGUCCAGCUCCUGGCCCUGCAGAGACACCCAGGAAGGGGGGACACGCUCCAAGUCCACCCGCCCCUCAAGCCACACCGGAAGACAACUGGGGAAAAGAGUUGUGUAUCCCAUCACUCUGACCUCAUCCCCACAGGAAAUUAUGGAGAGGUGUCAUCUAGACAUGAUCCAACCCUUGGGCUCACCUGGAGCUGCCCAGGUGCAGCACCUCCCACCAUGGGAACACGCAGCUGGAGGGAAGGCUCUGCCUGACCCUCCUCAUUCCAGGAGGGAAUUCCUCAUUUCUCCUCACCCUGGGAGCCUCACCGAGGGUCCAAACCCAGCUGGGCCCAGUGGUGGGAUGGGCUCUCUCCAGCUGGCAGGAGACAUGGAAGCUCUCCAAGCUGACCCAGGGAAAUCCUGCUGUGGUGGCACAAUCCCAGUGCCAGCACCUGGCACAGCCCCUGCACAAGGGACAAUAGGGAUGGGGCUCAGCCCUGCCCUGAGAACAAAACCAGCUUCAAAGGUCACCUCUGGGAUUUGGGAGUUAAAUCCUGAUUGUCAUGACUGGCAGAGCAAUAGGAUCAAGUGUCCCAGGCCAGGCUGGAUGGGCAUUGGAGCCACCUGGGAUAGUGGAAGUUGUCCCUGCCCAUGGAACUGGAUGAUUUUAAGGUCCCUUCCAACCCAAACCAUUCCAUGAUUUGAUGAUUCUGUGACAAGGUAGAAAACCCUGCUUCCCCCCACAGCUCACAGGACCUUCUGUAAGCUCACUUUGUGGUGCAAGAGAGACCUGCAAACCGAGGGGAGCUCCCCUGGCUGCUGGGGCACCGCAGCGAGACACCCCGGGGACAUUCAGCUUGAGCCUCAACCUCCCUUUUUGAUUUAACCUAAAUAACGUACACUUGCCAAGUAAAAGCUGUACUUUUACAAAGUAAAUCUACUCUGCUUUUACUUUGUAAGAUGGUUUGAGUUGGGAGCUGCAGCUGCUGGGUGAGCUCAGCACCCCGAGUUGAGACGACUCAGGGCGAUGUCACCUCUGUGCCAGCGAGGCUCCUGUUCUCUGGAGAGAGGGCUCAAUCUUUUAUUCACCUGUCAAAUGCUUAAAGAGCUUCUAAAUGCUGCACAGAGAAAAAUAACAGCCUUAUGGAAUAAUCACAUUCCAUGACAGUAAAGCUGUAUUUUAGAAAUUAAUGACUCAUCGCAGAAUUGAGCUCAGCCUGGGGAAUGACUGGAACUCAGAGCUGCUCCUCUGCACGUUGUGUUUUAUCCCCCUAGUCAGAGCUGGAUUUUGAGGAAUGCCUGGAUCACUGCAUGUCCCCCCUGGAAUGGAUCUCACACUGCCAGCUACACCCACCUCCUGCAUCCUGGAAAACUGUAACGAAGACCAGAGUGCCAAGGUCACACCCUGAGGUCUCAUUUCAUGCUGAGCAAAAUGGUUUUAAGAAAAAAAUAGCAAAAUUGGAGGAAUAAAUUGGAUGCACAUUGAAAA